AUCUCCAAAGCACUUGACCCCUUCUUUUGCCUUCCCCCCUCCUCCACACCGACAAGACGAAGAAUUACAAGCGACCGACAAGAGGGGCAGGGAGGCAGUCCUCUUCCAUCCCUCUCUCCCCCUCUCUCUGAAACCUACUCAGGCGCACGCGCCCGUACAUGAGAGAAGAAGAGAGGGAGUGCGAUCUAUAACCACCUAAAAAAACACGGAUAACGUAAGGCAUAUCCCCCCCCCCACACGCGCGCGCGGAGUGUGUGUUGAUCAGCUGCUUUAAAAGAAUAUCUUAACGAAACGAAGCGUAGAAGAAGAGGACAAGAUUGACGCAAGAGAAUCUUCCCGGAGAAAAAGGCACACACAUACACGCAACGCAAUCAUAAUCGGAUCAAGGCCAGCCCCCCUUUUCCUCAGCGAAUACAAGCGAUACGGAAGCGACGAGGAAAAGCUAGCAAGGGCUCGCAAAGGCUUUCGCACCGCAUCCACGCGCGCAUUUUCUGGUACCAAGUGCCUGCGUGCGAGCCUCCUUGCGCGCCCCUAGCUCUUGUGUCGUCGCCUUUCCAUCCUCCUAAAUACCCCGCCUCCCCUGCCCAAGCCCCCCACCACGCCGUGUCUCGCUAUUUCUGCGGCAGUCCUCUUUAACGUAAUCUGCUCUCUUUGUUUGUCUCUCGACUCGUUGCCUGCUUUUCCGAGUAACUUGUUUUUUAUAUUUUCUUGUCUUCGACACCUCGUCCCAUUUUGCCGGCGGCUCGGACCCUUCCGCUCCGCUUAACUUCCUCGCCCUCUGCCCCCCCUCCCCUCCCCUCCCCUACCCCCGCGCGAUUGAAGUAUACGUAGGGGACUAUAUAUAUCUAUUUCAUUGUGAUUGUCGUUUGCGCGUCGGCUUUCCUCUGCGUGACGACGACAACGACGACAACGACGACACAGCACAGGUGUGAGAGAGAGAAAGUUGCUGCUGCUGCUGCUGCCCCUUUAUUUUCGGUUCUGUUUCGCUUGUUGGUUACCGUGUGGGCCGGUCCGAAUCGUGUGUGUGCGCGCGCGAGAAUCGGCGCCUGCGCGUUUUCGUUUCUCUGCCAGAGAGGGCGAAGCGGAGUGCACGCAUGCGCUUGCGCGUGUUUCGCACUUCGCUUCACGCACGAUCGGCGCCUGUCUGUUUCCUCUUCUUUCAUUGCCGGUGGGUUUUGAGAAACCAUUACGAGCGCUUGAGCUUCUUACCCAGGUUUCGUUGCACUCUUGAAGAGUGUGACACACAGACACCUCCCUCCUCUGUUUCCUGCCGACGCCGUGCAGCUAACACCGCACUCCGGUGCGCUUCAGUGGGACUCGCAUGUCUGCCAACAGGACCAGAGACAGCGAUGACGUCGUUCGCGCCGAGGUUGCGGCGGCACUGUCUGUCCCACCGCAGCAGUUGCCAUCUACCCGUGGUGGUGCAGCUGUUGCAGCGGCAGACGAGCAUCUCUACGGACCCCACACGAGCACCAUACGCAUGAAUCCAUACGUGCGCUGCGUACAAGAUAGCGGGGUGCCGAAAAUUUGCUCCCUCCAGGAGCUUCUCUCUCAGAAGAUCCAGCCAGACCCCGCGGAGCCAGAUACGCCGUGUCUUCGACCGAGUCACAGGCCGACAGCGGUGUGGGCGCAGGCCCCAGAACCGUCGAGCUUCGACGACGGCCGUGCGACAAUGACGCCGCCGCCUUGCCAGUCCACCUUCGAGCGCCACGCAGACCCCGCACUCGCUGGUGCUCCUGCGGCGAGCAAUCCGUCACCGGUGCUCACCUUCACCGCCGACGGCGUCGCCACGCCAAACACGUUUGCCACGGUCAAGACCCACGAAAUGCGCAUCUUGUCCCGCCUCACGAAGCGCCUGCGGUGGUCCGAGCGGCAUCAGGACAUGCCCUUUGGCGAGCCCGUGGAGAUGAUGCUGGCGGAGGCAGACGAGGGCGAGGACACUGAAGGGGGGUCCGAGGACAGAGACUCCGAGGUGAUUGAUGCUGUCCACUCAGGCCGCUCAGGCGCACUCGCGCCGUACCCAGAAGACCGUACCGAGAAGCAAGAUGAGGCUAGCGUGCAGCUUCUGCCCUGCUCCACACGUGACAAGGCCGAGGCGUCUGCGCUUCAGGAGACACCGCAGCACUUCGCGGCGGCCUCUCCUCAAGCGGCGGCUUCAAAUGCAUCCCCACAGCACGCGUCGGACUUGAAGGAGGGUACCGUGUCGGCCUCCUCAUCGGGCGGCAUUUUCUGCACCUUUGCCAGAGAUCCCACGCCCCCCGACGGACGGAAACUCCACACCACCGGCGUCAAGCACGCCGACUCCAGCGCCACCUCACCGCACCAGCCCCACUACACCCAUGGGCAGAAACAGCAGCAUUCACGGCCUGCUGUUGUGCCUCUGCGCACCACAUACCCUGCCCCGGUGGCGAGACUGGAGGAGAGCCCGUAUCACUACAUCAUGCGCAACUACAUUGGCGGGACCUUUCUCUACUAUAGCACGCCGGAGAGCAAGGACUACUUUUUGCGCCUAUGCCACCGCGUUGUGGCGCAGGUGCGACCUCUACUGGAGCAGGAAACGCUGUCGCCCCACCACGGCCUGUUCCCCCGCAUCAACGCGCCGGCCUUCGUCUUCGGUGACAUUCACGGCAACUUUGAGGACUUGUCCUUCUUCCUGAAACGGCUGCUGAUCUUCCACGACUUCAACCUCACCCCAGCAAACAUCUUGUGCCUCGGCGACUAUGUCGAUCGCGGCCCUUUCUCGCUCGAGUGCGUCAUGCUACUCUUCUCGCUCAAGAUCAUGAACUCAUCGAAGAUCGUCAUGCUGCGCGGCAACCACGAGGACCGCGUCGUCUGCGGUGACCUGCGCACCUACGGCCGCGGCUGCUUCCUGGCUCAGUGCCACACUGUCUUUGGCUACGCUGAGGGAACGAAACUGUUCCGCGAGGUGACGGCCCUGUUCAAGUACCUCCCGCUGGCGGCGGAGCUGGUGAUCCCGAGCACACCAAACUUAUCGUUUCUGCGGUCACAGCAGACUGUGAUGCACCCGAACCUUUACGUGAGCCAGCCAGCAGUGCUGCUCCACGAUGGCAUUCGGGCCAAGCGGACCGCGCCAACGAUCUCGCUGGCAUCCGGCUCGGCGACAAGGGCGUCUCCGUUCGGCUCGCAGCACCUCCGCACGCUGCACCGCGACGGCGAAGUGGCUAGCGGCGACAGGGAAGGUGACGAGGCCCUCUCCAAGAACUCGGCCAGCGCGGAGGCGGUGUCCCCGCUGCCGACCGGCUACAGCACGAUCGCGGACGCCUCUCUCGCACGUGGGCAGCCGUCCCGGCACGAGGCUCACGAAGAGCGCAUCUUGUGCACCCACGGCGGCAUUCCCCGCUUUGAUCGCUCGCCGUGUGAGGAGAACUCGCUCGCCUUUCUGCGCAGUCUCUCCUUCCCCCGCAUGCUCACGUUGUUCCCGAACAACCCGGUUGUGAAGGAUGACGCCGAGUGCAUGCCGGACUACUUCGUGAAGCAGGAGCUGGAGGCGCUAUGGCGCCGCUACCCGUCUGCCGCUCCACCUGGUUUCACGGCGGCGUGCCGACGAGAGGCCGCAGAAGCCGCCGCCGCCGCCGCAACUGCCACCACCGGUACCCCGGCGGCGUCCAGGCCCUUGGAUGCUUUGCCUUCUUCCCUCAAGCUGCAGAGAAAGGCGAGUAGCAGCAGCGCCGGCAGCAGUGCGAGCGGCCACGAAUCUGCCGCAGCGGCAGUGCCGCCAGAGGCGGAAGCAUCGUCUCGCCCCUCGUCGUGCUCGGCGGCGUCCUCCGUGUCCCCUAAGGCGAGGGUGGUGCCCGGUGGGCAGAGCGAGCAGCAGCAGCCACAACGCCACAAGUCGCCACCCGCUAUGCGCAGCAGCAGCGACUAUUUGCCGCAGUUGACCGAGGACGACGUGCGCAAGGGCUGGUACACCAUGUUCGACUUGCUCUGGUCGGACCCAACCCCGAUGGAGCUGGAAGAGGAGGCGGCAUGCGUGGACUGGGAGUCUUCUCGUGUCGCUGGCGGCGAACACGGCGCUCACCGAAGCACGGCAUCUUCCUCCUCGACGACCGCCGCUAGAGGGUCGACAUCACGCGUGCACGUCAACGAGUGGGGCUUCACCGUCAACACCCGCGGCAGCAACGUUGUCUCCUUCUCCGCCAAGGCGGUGGACACGUUCCUCACGGCGUACCAUUACUCGAUGCUCUUCCGCGCUCAUCAGGAGAAGGCGCAUGGGCUACGGUGGAGUAAGAGCAGCAAGGUGCUUACCAUCUUCAGCAGCAGCAACUACAUGGGCCACCGCAACGGCGCUGGCUGCGUCGUCGUCGCCGCCAACGGCGAGGUGCAGAUGAUUGAGAAGGUGGUGACCAUGUGACUCUUGGGAUGGCCUACAGCAAGGGAGAAGAGUGAACCACAAACCCAUAGACGCAUACGCAGAUACACUCAUCAAGCACUUCGAUUUGUUUCUAUCGCGACGCUGCGGCGCACUGCCUCGGACAGCCAUGUCUCUAUGGGCUUGGUGGGGCAGUGUGUUCUCGUGAUGGGCUGUGCUGCCCAUGGUUGUCAAAUCUUUCUUCCUCGUUCGCUCCUUCUCCCUUGGCUUCAGCUCCAGCUCG
rnacentral:misc_RNA from 1 species